UACGGAGGAUGCAAGCGUUGUCCGGAAUUAUUGGGCGUAAAGAGCUCGUAGGCGGCUUGUCGCGUCGUCCGUGAAAACCUGCGGCUCAACUGCAGGCUGGCGGUCGAUACGGGCAGGCUGGAGUUCGGUAGGGGAGACUGGAAUUCCUGGUGUAGCGGUGAAAUGCGCAGAUAUCAGGAGGAACACCGGUGGCGAAGGCGGGUCUCUGGGCCGAUACUGACGCUGAGGAGCGAAAGCGUGGGGAGCGAACAGG
rnacentral:rRNA from 1 species